AGCGUUGUUCGGAAUUACUGGGCGUAAAGCGCACGUAGGCGGAUUUGUAAGUCAGGGGUGAAAUCCCGGGGCUCAACCUCGGAACUGCCUUUGAUACUGCAAAUCUCGAGUCCGGAAGAGGUGAGUGGAAUUCCUAGUGUAGAGGUGAAAUUCGUAGAUAUUAGGAAGAACACCAGUGGCGAAGGCGGCUCACUGGUCCGGUACUGACGCUGAGGUGCGAAAGCGUGGGGAGCAAACAGG
rnacentral:rRNA from 1 species